AACGAACGCUGGCGGCAGGCCUAACACAUGCAAGUCGAGCGAACCCUUCGGGGUUAGCGGCGGACGGGUUAGUAACGCGUGGGAAUAUACCCUUUGGUACGGAAUAGCCUCGGGAAACUGAGAGUAAUACCGUAUGUGCCCUUCGGGGAAAGAUUUAUCGCCAAAGGAUUAGCCCGCGUUGGAUUAGAUAGUUGGUGGGGUAAUGGCCUACCAAGUCUACGAUCCAUAGCUGGUUUGAGAGGAUGAUCAGCAACACUGGAACUGAGACACGGUCCAGACUCCUACGGGAGGCAGCAGUGGGGAAUAUUGCGCAAUGGGCGAAAGCCUGACGCAGCCACGCCGCGUGAGUGAUGAAGGCCCGAGGGUCGUAAAGCUCUGUCGGGAGGGAAGAACAAAAUGACGGUACCUCCCAAGAAAGCACCGGCUAACUCCGUG
rnacentral:rRNA from 1 species